rnacentral:rRNA from 1 species
UAGGGAAUUUUGCGCAAUGGGCGAAAGCCUGACGCAGCAACACCGCGUGAAUGUUAAGCCCUUCGGGGUGUAAAGUUCUGUCAAUAGGGACGAAUUUUGACUGUACCUAUAAAGGAAGCACCGGCUAACUCCGUGCCAGCAGCCGCGGUAAUACGGGGGGUGCAAGCGUUGUCCGGAAUCAUUGGGCGUAAAGCGUUCGUAGGCGGCAAGGUAAGUCUGAUGUUAAAGCCCGGGGCUCAACUCCGGUUCGGCAUUGGAUACUAUCUAGCUAGAAUGUGGUAGAGGUAAAGGGAAUUCCUGGUGUAGCGGUGAAAUGCGUAGAUAUCAGGAGGAACAUCGGUGGCGAAAGCGCUUUACUGGACCAUUAUUGACGCUGAGGAACGAAAGCCAGGGGAGCAAAUGGG